UACGGAGGGUGCAAGCGUUAAUCGGAAUUACUGGGCGUAAAGCGCACGCAGGCGGUCUGUCAAGUCGGAUGUGAAAUCCCCGGGCUCAACCUGGGAACUGCAUUCGAAACUGGCAGGCUAGAGUCUUGUAGAGGGGGGUAGAAUUCCAGGUGUAGCGGUGAAAUGCGUAGAGAUCUGGAGGAAUACCGGUGGCGAAGGCGGCCCCCUGGACAAAGACUGACGCUCAGGUGCGAAAGCGUGGGGAGCAAACAGGAUUA
rnacentral:rRNA from 1 species